ACACAUGCAAGUCGAGCGGUAAGGCCCUUCGGGGUACACGAGCGGCGAACGGGUGAGUAACACGUGAGCAACCUGCCCCUGACUCCGGGAUAAGCGGUGGAAACGCCGUCUAAUACCGGAUACGACUCCCCACCUCAUGGUGGGAAGUGGAAAGUUUUUUCGGUUGGGGAUGGGCUCGCGGCCUAUCAGCUUGUUGGUGGGGUAAAGGCCUACCAAGGCGAUUACGGGUAGCCGGCCUGAGAGGGCGACCGGCCACACUGGGACUGAGACACGGCCCAGACUCCUACGGGAGGCAGCAGUGGGGAAUAUUGCGCAAUGGGCGAAAGCCUGACGCAGCGACGCCGCGUGGGGGAUGACGGCCUUCGGGUUGUAAACCUCUUUUACCACCAACGCAGGCUCCCAGUUCUCUGGGGGUUGACGGUAGGUGGGGAAUAAGGACCGGCUAACUACGUGCCAGCAGCCGCGGUAAUACGUAGGGUCCGAGCGUUGUCCGGAAUUAUUGGGCGUAAAGAGCUCGUAGGCGGCGUGUCGCGUCUGCUGUGAAAGACCGGGGCUUAACUCCGGUUCUGCAGUGGAUACGGGCAUGCUAGAGGUAGGUAGGGGAGACUGGAAUUCCUGGUGUAGCGGUGA
rnacentral:rRNA from 1 species